rnacentral:rRNA from 1 species
GUGGGGAAUUUUGGACAAUGGGCGAAAGCCUGAUCCAGCCAUGCCGCGUGCAGGAUGAAGGCCUUCGGGUUGUAAACUGCUUUUGUACGGAACGAAAAGACUCUGGUUAAUACCUGGGGUCCAUGACGGUACCGUAAGAAUAAGCACCGGCUAACUACGUGCCAGCAGCCGCGGUAAUACGUAGGGUGCAAGCGUUAAUCGGAAUUACUGGGCGUAAAGCGUGCGCAGGCGGUUAUAUAAGACAGAUGUGAAAUCCCCGGGCUCAACCUGGGAACUGCAUUUGUGACUGUAUAGCUAGAGUACGGCAGAGGGGGAUGGAAUUCCGCGUGUAGCAGUGAAAUGCGUAGAUAUGCGGAGGAACACCGAUGGCGAAGGCAAUCCCCUGGGCCUGUACUGACGCUCAUGCACGAAAGCGUGGGGAGCAAACAGGAUUAGAAACCCUGGUAGUCC